rnacentral:piRNA from 1 species
UCUUAAUCAGUUGUGACGAGUGAUAUGCCU